rnacentral:rRNA from 1 species
GACGAACGCUGACGGCGUGCUUUAGACAUGCAAGUCGAACGAGAAAGCCCUUCGGGGUUAGUAAAGUGGCGAACGGGUGAGUAACACGUGGGCAAUCUGCCCUUCGUUGGGGGACAACCGGGGGAAACCCCGGCUAAUACCCCGUAAGCUUGUCGGGUCGCAUGGCCUGACAAGGAGAGGUAGCUUCGGCCAUCCGGCGAAGGAGGAGCCCGCGGUACAUUAGCUAGUUGGUGAGGUAAAGGCCCACCAAGGCGACGAUGUAUAGAUGGUCUGAGAGGAUGAUCAGCCACACUGGGACUGAGACACGGCCCAGACUCCUACGGGAGGCAGCAGUCGGGAAUCUUGCACAAUGGGCGAAAGCCUGAUGCAGCAACGCCGUGUGAGCGACGAAGGCCCUAGGGUCGUAAAGCUCUGUUGUUAGGGACGAAGGGCGAAGGGUUAAUAGCCCUUAGCCUGACGGUACCUUUCGAGGAAGCCCCGGCUAACUACGUGCCAGCCGCCGCAGUAA